GGUGCACUGAAAGAGAGGGGUGCGCGGAGAGUCACAAGUCUUCCCCAGCGGCACCACGGGGGCUCUAGCGGGGCCCUGCGGCCACCGUGCUCAAGUAGGGGCAAGUCCCCAUUAUCAGGAAUCGUCUUGAAGGGGUCAGAGAAUAAAGCCCUAGUCAUCUGGAGAUGUGAAUUUAGGAGGAGGCUGUAUUACUGACUGUGGACUGAAUUUGGCUUAAUUUACUAUGGGGUUCUCCGAAGAAUGUGGACAAAGGUUGAACAGCAAGAAGAAUAGCAUAAAAUUUUGUAUCUAGGCCCCGGUGCCUCAGAAAUCCAGUUUCUCUGAACUUGUUUUGAUUUGGGGCUGGGAAUCAGUCGUGAGGAAAGAGAAAUGGGAGAGGAAAACCAUCGAGAAAUGGCGAGAGAAUGUGGAAUGGGCCCGACUGGACCAUGUGGGGCCUCAAGCCACACAGGCUACAUGAUUCAUGUACAAUGUCCCUUUAGCAGUAAUGAAUCAUCUUGUUCUUCCUGGAUUCAAGUGGGUGAUAGCCAGAGACCAGCACAACCUUGAGUUGGACGCGCCAGCAGAAGCCUUUCUCAAGAGCACGUGCCAGCCUGCGAACCGGUCAUGGGCACGCAGGAGCAACCGCACCACUCUGAACAAUGAGAAUCAAUAAGGGCUGGCCAUCUGGCAAGCUGAUCUGCGGGUUGACAAGAUCUGAAACUCACAAAAUCAGGCUAAGCCUCAAGCUUCAGGGCAUAUCCACUCCUGAUUGAUUCAGGAAAAGCCCCAGGAUCCAAGUGUUUGAACUCUUCUCUUCUGAGCUCAAGACAGUAAACAUUGAACCACAUGUCAGCUAAGGCUCAAUUUUUAGCAGACUUAGAGGUAUGGAUGGCAGAAGAGUACCAGAACUAAAAUAUAUAGAAACCCUCUGUAAAUCAAUGGAGACGCUGAACAUUGACAAUGAAUAUACCUUACCUUUGAAAUCUAGAGGAAAAAACGCUAUUUUUUAAAAGACUGAAGUCAAUGGAAGGGAAUAUAAGUGACUCUUACCAGGUCCCAGUCCCCAGUGGCCCAAUGACAACAGGGGUGGCUGUUGCAGGGCGCCGUGGGCGUGGGCCUUUCCGACCAGUCACAGAGACCUCCCGGACAAGUCACGGCUCUCUCCUGAACUCCGCCUCCACAGGACCUGGAACACUGAGAGCUAUUAAGAAUACCAGUGUCUCUACUGGAAUCUGCACCAGGUUCCUCAUGAUGACCACAUAACAGUGAUGAAACAAAAAUUAAAGAGAGAAGGAAAUUAAUAAAAGGCAUUCUGAGGAUAUGAAGAGGAGAAAAAGAAAAUCAGAAGAUGCCACAUAGUUCAAUGUAAAACAGUAUGUCACACAGAAGGAAUUCUGGUUAAAAACCUAAAUGAGUGGUCAUUCCAGAAUGGACGUCAUGCUAUUUGCACUCCGGCUUCUAGCACAAGUAUCUAGAAACCAAAAUGUAAAAUGUAGGUGUUUUCAUUAUGAUUAGCUCCAACAGUCCAAACAGGGAGCACGCAUUUGCAAUAGAAUUUUAUUUCCUCUUAAAAUGGGAUUCAGUCUUCCUUUCCCACUACAAAAUGCUUUAGAAUUAAAUUUGGCCAUACUUGGAAUAGGGGAAUUGAUGGGUUUGCCCCAGGGUCUGAUCCACUGACUGUAAUGCUCACAAAAAUAAAUUUGAGAUGACAAGCUGGAUUCCUAAAGGGAUACAACUCUAAAACGUGUCAGGUUUUUGCUCACUAAUAUAAUUUUAUAAGAUCUAUUGUCUCAUUUUCCUAAGGUUUCUAGAAGGAAAUUACAUUAUCCACUAGGAAUCUUUGAAACAUAACAUAAUAAAAUUUAAAAAAUUAAAAAAAAAAAGAAAAGUACUUUGAAAAAUCUUAAUUAUGGUAUGGUAACAACAACAGCAACAACAAAAUAAUUAUGGUUGGCAACAUCUUGCUCAUCACAUCAGGCAUGACAUUGAGUGGUGGUGCCAUAGAAAACAGGAUAAUUACAUGCAAUAAACGCUUUCUG